rnacentral:rRNA from 1 species
UACGAAGGGGGCUAGCGUUGUUCGGAAUUACUGGGCGUAAAGCGCGCGCAGGCGGCUAUCCAAGUCAGUGGUGAAAGCCCGGAGCUCAACUCCGGAACUGCCAUUGAAACUGUUUAGCUUGAGGACGAGAGAGGUGAGUGGAAUUCCCAGUGUAGAGGUGAAAUUCGUAGAUAUUGGGAAGAACACCAGUGGCGAAGGCGGCUCACUGGUCCGGUACUGACGCUGAGGUGCGAAAGCGUGGGGAGCAAACAGG